CUGAGCUCUUGGCGCGCCGUGACAUCAUCGUCGUUUUCUCGCCGGCCGCGCUUGACCCACAGCUCCUUCGCGUCGUCGUCUUGGACAACCCGUAGCCUCUGCUCCGACCUCGUCGCACUCGCGCUCCUCACACCCGACAAGCCGUCGUGCUCGGCGUGUUUUCUCCGUGCGGCCUUACGGGUUCCUCUCGCUUCAUCGGCUUGUCGCGUGUUAGAGCAGAUUUUUGAUGCCUUGGCUUUAUUAGUUGCUCCUUAUGGAGGUCUUGAAGCUUAG
rnacentral:misc_RNA from 1 species